GCUGAACACUAGGUUCAAAAUGAUGUCCCUGACUUUUCAAAGCCACCAAAUACUACACUGGUCUCAGAAGAUCAUGACACAUGAAGAAACUGGCUGAGACCAUGGUCUGCUGUAGGUGUUGCUUCAAUCAACAAUGUGACUACAUUAGUAGAGGUGGUCUUCAUACUGUUGGAUCAUCACAAAAACAAGGCUGGCUUGAAACUGACAGAACGAAGAAUCAAGGAUGGCUUGAAUCUGUCUGAUGGAACAAAAGGCCAAGUGAAGACUGCAAACCCUGCUGACUGCAACAAAUCCAACGUCUUCAGCCUUGCAUUGAGUGAGAUGGUGUUACCAGCUGUGUACACAAGACAACUGACACUUGGUUAUGAUCACUCAUGCUGGAGGCCAGUUUGAAAGGCAAAGGAGACCCUGAUCUUAAAGGAGAUGGCUGGAUCGCUCAGAACGACCUUUUCGGUAUUGGUGUCUGAAGUCCCUUGGCCCAGAAGUCCCGCUUCCACAAAUGUGCAGCGGUGUUCUCGGUGGGGACCUGACUCUGCAGACAACACAUGAAUGUCAAGAACUUGUUUGUGGCAAUAAAAAUGAAUGGAAUGAA